rnacentral:tRNA from 1 species
UGGGAGAGAUGGCUGAGUGGUUGAUAGCUCUGGUAUUGAAAAAAAGUAUAGUUCCGAACAAAGAACUAUCCAGGGUUUGAAUCCCUCUCUCUCAU